rnacentral:rRNA from 1 species
CAGCAGCCGCGGGAAUACGUAGGGUGCGAGCGUUAAUCGGAAUUACUGGGCGUAAAGCGUGCGCAGGCGGUUCGUUAAGACAGAUGUGAAAUCCCCGGGCUUAACCUGGGAACUGCAUUUGUGACUGGCGAGCUAGAGUAUGGCAGAGGGGGGUAGAAUUCCACGUGUAGCAGUGAAAUGCGUAGAGAUGUGGAGGAAUACCGAUGGCGAAGGCAGCCCCCUGGGCCAAUACUGACGCUCAUGCACGAAAGCGUGGGGAGCAAACAGGAUUAGAUACCCCUGUAGUCCCUGUCUCUUAUAC